rnacentral:rRNA from 1 species
AGUCAAGUAAUUAAGUGCAUGUGGUGGAUGCCUUGGCAGUCAGAGGCGAUGAAAGACGUGAUAGCCUGCGAAAAGCUCCGGGGAGGCGGCAAAUAUCCUUUGAUCCGGAGAUGUCUGAAUGGGGGAACCCACCUACUUUAAGGUAGGUAUUGCAACAUGAAUACAUAGUGUUGCAAGGCGAACGAGGGGAAGUGAAACAUCUCAGUACCCUUAGGAAAAGAAAUCAAUUGAGAUUCCCUCAGUAGCGGCGAGCGAACGGGGAUCAGCCCAUUAAGUUAUGUGU